rnacentral:rRNA from 1 species
CAGCCGCCGCGGUAAUACGGAGGGGGCUAGCGUUGUUCGGAAUUACUGGGCGUAAAGCGCACGUAGGCGGCUUUGUAAGUUAGAGGUGAAAGCCCGGAGCUCAACUCCGGAAUUGCCUUUAAGACUGCCGAGCUAGCAGGUGAGAGAGGUAAGUGGAAUUCCGGGUGUAGAGGUGAAAUUCGUAGAUAUUCGGAAGAACAUCAGUGGCGAAGGCAGCUAUCUGGGACAACACUGACGCUGAGGCACGAAAGCGUGGGGAGCAAACAGGAUUAGAUACCCCGGUAGUCCCUGUCUCUUAUAC